CAAGCAGAAGUUCAAGGCAGCCUUUGAUGUCAGGGAUUAUGGUGAGCAGGGUGUGAUGGGCAGGGCAAGUGCUCCCAUCAUUUGAGGUCCAGCUGAAGCCAAACAAGACUUUCUUCUACCUCAACGAUGAGGCUCUGGGUGUGGACAUCGAGGCUUGGUGAGUCCCCUUCUCCCCAGCCUGGCCAGAGGACCAGGAAUGCCAAGAACCUGAAUAGUUAGAGAAGCAGGCCACUUCUGUGGCACUUAAGGCUGCCUGAUGAGGUUUAUGGGCUACCUCCACCAUCUUGUGAGGUUGCACAGGCUAUAUCUGCAACCCAACACGAAGCUUUAUGGGACACAUUUAUCACUUCCCAGGGUUGUGUAGGUCAGCAAUGAAACCAUCUAAGUUUCCAGGGGUCACUCUGCCCCUCCCAGAGAUUUACCACCAUCCCUGCAGCCUCAUGAGGUCAUACAGGACAUCUCUGCAACCACACGAAGUUGUGUGGGUGCUUCAGAGCCAGUGGAAUGACCCUCCACCCACCCCCAGGUAUGUUUUCAAAGAGCCAGUGGAUGGACAUGCUCUGGCCAUCUUCGGGGUGAAGUUGCAUUCCCACCGGAUGCCCAUCCAGAGUUCCCUGCAGAGAGUGGAGGUGACUGAGUCUUGACCUCUCCCCCCACCAAUUUCCCCCCCUAUCAACCCUCCUCUUCUCCCCAAGAAACCAUCUCCUCUUCUCUCUCUCACCCUGAGAGCAGAUCUCUGAAGGUCUGGGCCACGUCUCCCUCCAGAAGGACACACUGAUGUCCACAUUCCAAGGCCCAGAAGAGGACUUCACUGGGGCCUCAAUAUUUAUCAACGUCACCGUGUUCUCUUCAGGUGCCACCCUCACCCAAGCUCCUGGCUGAGGUCAGGACAGUGUUCUUACCCAACCUAGACAUUCCACCCAUGUGACCACGGGCCACCUCCCAGCCCAUUUCCUCAUCAGAGAAAUGCGAAAAUGCCAGAAAGGCUGGAAGGAGCUGAGAUUGUGUUACUGUCUUUCCUUGUCUUCACCAAGACAGGCUUCCCAUACGAGCAGCCCUGCCACUCCCCCAAGAAACUGGACCUCCUCCACAGACCUCACAGUCCCCUGUCUCUCCAGGGGGUGAGAUGGUCCAGGCUGAGACCUCUGGGGUGAAGAUCGUCCGGAGGACAUACAGCAUCAAGUUCAUCAGGACACCCCAGUAUUUCAAGCCUGGGAUGCCCUUCCACGUUAAGGUCUUCGUCUCAAAUCCUGAUGGGUCCCCAGCCUCUAGAGUCCUUGUCCGAUGCCAAGACAAACGAGACCGCACGUCAGCCAAUGGAGUGGCCAUUUUGACCAUCAACACAAAUGCAAAAAAUCGGGAGAAGCUCCCUAUCCUGGUAGAAUACUGAUGAGCCUCUUCGGCC